rnacentral:rRNA from 1 species
GACGAACGCUGGCGGCGUGCUUAACACAUGCAAGUCGAGCGGUAAGGCCCUUUCGGGGGUACACGAGCGGCGAACGGGUGAGUAACACGUGGGUGACCUGCCCUCAGCUCUGGGGUAAGCCUGGGAAACCGGGUCUAAUACUGGAUAUGACUCCAUGACGCAUGUUGUGGGGUGGAAAGCCUUGUGCGGCUGAGGAUGGGCCCGCGGCCUAUCAGCUUGUUGGUGGGGUGAUGGCCUACCAAGGCGACGACGGGUAGCCGGCCUGAGAGGGCGACCGGCCACACUGGGACUGAGACACGGCCCAGACUCCUACGGGAGGCAGCAGUGGGGAAUCUUGCGCAAUGGGCGAAAGCCUGACGCAGCGACGCCGCGUGAGGGAUGACGGCCUCGG